AGCAGCCGCGGUAAUUCCAGCUCCAAUAGCGUAUAUUAAAGUUGCUGCAGUUAAAAAGCUCGUAGUUGAAUUUCGGGGUCAGUAGGCUGGUCGUGCCACAGGUAUGUACUGGUCUUACUGAUUCCUCCUUCCUGAUGAACCGUAAUGCCAUUAAUUUGGUGUUGCGGGGAAUCUGGACUGUUACUUUGAAAAAUUAGAGUGUUUAAAGCAGGCUAACGCUUGAAUACAUUAGCAUGGAAUAAUGAAAUAGGACGAUCGAUCCUAUUUUGUUGGUUUCUAGGGUUGACGUAAUGAUUAAUAGGGAUAGUUGGGGGCAUUAGUAUUCAAUUGUCAGAGGUGAAAUUCUUGGAUUUAUUGAAGACUAACUACUGCGAAAGCAUUUGCCAAGGAUGUUUUCAUUAAUCAAGAACGAAAGUUAGGGGAUCGAAGACGAUCAGAUACCGUCGUAGUCUUAACCAUAAACUAUAGCCGACUAGGGAUCGGAUGAUGUAAUUUUUAAUGA
rnacentral:rRNA from 1 species